CCAUAUGAGGCUGUACGCGCUUCUCGGCCAGUUUGCGAGCUAUUAUUAUUACCCUUGUCUUUUGCGUACCUUUGUUUCCUCGGCGGGUUCCGCCCGCCCGAUGGACCAAUCAUAAACCAUUUUAUGCAGUUGCAAUCAGCGUCAGUAUAAACAAAUUAAUCAGUUA
rnacentral:misc_RNA from 1 species